CCCAGCAACACCGCGGCCUCAAUCUCGUCCCUGCCCAAUUCUCGUCUGUCUCGUCUCGCGCCGCCCCUCCUUCCCUCCCUCCUCUUUUCGUGCAGCGCAAGAGAGGCGCAGCAGCCUGCAGCCCACAGAACGUAGGCCCGAUCCCGAGCCGGCCCUCCUUCCCCUCCCUCCCCCUCAAGCCGUUGCAGCAGACCGCCGCCGCCGCCGCCGCCGCCGCGGGCAUCUCCUCACGGAAAAAGGACGUAGGAGCGGCGCUGCUCGCCCGCCGGCCUGGGAGCAGGCCACAGCUCCUCCUCCCUCCUUUUUUCGGGUCUGAGUGGUAGCUAGCUACAGAACUGUCAGAUGGAAAAAGAAGACGACGAAUUUCCUUUGGAGGGGAAGGAUAAAAUCGUAGAUUCUAACAAUAGGGUGAAAGAGCUGAAACUUUUCACGGCGACAUGCAGCAUGGAUCGUUACGAUGUCAGUAUCAUGAUUAAAAAGGGUCCUGGAAUAACGGAAGAUACAUACAAUCUCAUGAAGGACUUCCAACAUAACACAAUCAUACCACAUCGCAACUUCUACCGCGACCGCGACAGCAAUCAAGGAAGGUUAGCUAUACCUGAUGCAGGAACAUCAUUCAAGUCCUGGGUAGGAAGCAGUGAAGGGAAAGAUCUUCUGAUUGAUGGAAAUGGAAACAUGUCAUCAUUGUUCAAAAGUAUGAUAAUUGAUAUUUGUGAUGCUGUGGAGAAAUCAUCUGCAAAGGGGAUUCUGAUAAAAAAAACCUUGAUUGGAAUAAUCUUUACAUUGCAAAGGAAACAACUCAGAGGAUUCUUCUCCUAGUAACAGAAGCGGAAACCUUACCAGGUGGGAUUUCCAUAAGUGUGUUCUGGAAACCAGUUUGGGAUAUUAUAGCAUGCUGUUACGACCAAUGGAAAACUAAGCCCAAUUCUGAAGCCCAAAGGUUUAUUUCUUUUAUUGGUCAAGUGAAUUUUUCUGUGAGGGCCUUGAGAAGAUAUCCAGAUAAUUGGGAUAAUUACACAAAGGGGGAGUAUCUGCUCUGUCUUAUAGCAGCUGAUCAAGGGAAAAUGAGAUCUGCGUGUCGGAUAAUAGACAUUUCAUGGCCUAAGGAAGAUGGAAAGCUACCAGAUGUGCUGGACAAAAUUAUGGAGCAUGAAAGCAAGAGCAAUCGCCAUUACAAUCCAAGCAAUCCAUUUGAUUAUAUGCUUCUUAUAAGGAAUGUGUAUAAACAUUUCUACAAGUUUCCUUAUCAGAUCAAGAUAAUUCACUUUUAAAACAUUCUGUAACUUACUAAUAUGCAUAGAGUUCAAGCAUGUUGUGAGUGCAAAAAGAUAAACAAAGAACUACCAAGGCCAUGAAAAUGCUCUGAUUGUUUAUUCCUAGGACAGCUUGAAAUAUGAAAUAAAUGUAAAAUACAGAGUAUAAUAUUUUUAGUCUGAGCUGUUUGUUAACUUGGAUAGACAGUGAAAAUUUUGGAUCUGUGACCUUAACACCUUGUCUAUUACAGUACUAGUGCACAGUGAUUCAGCACUUACAAUGUUUUGUUCCUAUUUACAGCAAAGGUUUAAUGGUACAAGAGAAGGUUUUAUAAAGAUGUUAGAACAAUGGUCACCGAAUAUCUGGCAAGACUUGUAUGAUGCAAUUGGUUGGCCAUGAUAGGUUCUUCUACUUGGAACUGUUCACAACUUGCAUUGAUUUAUGUCUUGCAUCAUCAUGUACUUCAGAAAUAGUCAUCAGGUGCUCUGUCUCAAUACCUCAGGUGUAGACAUAGAUAUUAAUGAGACCCUUGCUGGCUGGUUAAUGGGAUCAGCACCGCUGCCGAGCCCAGAAAAUUUCGUUCAGACUAUGAGGAUGUUUCAUCACCAAGUUUUACCAUGUACAAGAGUAUCUGCGCAUCUCGUAUGGAAUCUUGAGGUAUACGACCUGAGUUUAUUGCUGGUUCUUUGUCAUACCAUGCGUAGUGCCCCUUGCUGCUACUCUUUCAGAUGUAGAGUAGAACAGAAGUACUACUUGAGAAGACUAUUGCCCGCUCAGGUGUUGAGUUGCACACUUGUAUUUGACACGUUCUCAUGUAAACGUUGUACUGGUAGCUCCUGGUCUUGAGGAUAGACCGGUUCUCUUGC